UACAGAGGUCUCAAGCGUUGUUCGGAUUCAUUGGGCGUAAAGGGUGCGUAGGUGGCGCCGUAAGUCGGGUGUGAAAUUUCGGAGCUUAACUCCGAAACUGCAUUCGAUACUGCGGUGCUUGAGGACUGGAGAGGAGACUGGAAUUCAUGGUGUAGCAGUGAAAUGCGUAGAGAUGUGGAGGAAUACCGAUGGCGAAGGCAGCCCCCUGGGAUAACAUGACGCUCAUGCACGAAAGCGUGGGGAGCAAACAGG
rnacentral:rRNA from 1 species